UUUCGUCUGCUUCAUAAGGGUCACGGCCACUAUGACUGAACGAACUUUUAAUCUGGUUGUGCCGCUGGCUCACAAGGCCACCGACAUGCGCAUCGCAGAUACCUCUGGCAGUGUCCAGGUACGGUCUGGCGCAGUUUCCCCGUUGAUCGGCUCCGGCCUUCGGCAGGGCGACGUAGAUAGCACAACAGGACG
rnacentral:sRNA from 1 species